rnacentral:rRNA from 1 species
CCCCUAGAUGUUCUGGGCCGCACGCGCGCUACACUGAACAGUUCAACAAGUCUUAACCUUGGCCGAUAGGUCUGGGUAAUCUUUGAACGCUGUUCGUGAUUGGGAUAGACCUUUGCAAUUAUGGGUCUUCAACGAGGAAUUCCUAGUAAACGCAAGUCAUCAGCUUGCAUUGAUUACGUCCCUGCCCUUUGUACACACCGCCCGUCGCACCUACCGAUUGAAUGGUCCGGUGAAAUCUCGGGACGGCGGCUUGGUCGCUUGCGUCCGACUGCUGAAACUUGAUUAAACCAUAUCAUUUAGAGGAAGGUGAAGUAGUANCA